rnacentral:rRNA from 1 species
UGGGGAAUAUUGCGCAAUGGGCGAAAGCCUGACGCAGCAACGCCGUGUGAGGGAUGAAGGCUUUCGGGUCGUAAACCUCUGUCGGAAGGGAAGAACGGGCAUUGGUCUAAUAGGCCUUUGUUUUGACGGUACCUUUAGAGGAAGCACCGGCUAACUCCGUGCCAGCAGCCGCGGUAAUACGGAGGGUGCAAGCGUUAUUCGGAAUUACUGGGCGUAAAGCGCACGUAGGCGGCUUCGUAAGUCAGGGGUGAAAUCCCACGGCUCAACCGUGGAACUGCCUUUGAAACUGCAAAGCUUGAAUCCUGGAGAGGGUGGCGGAAUUCCUGGUGUAGGAGUGAAAUCCGUAGAUAUCAGGAGGAACACCGGUGGCGAAGGCGGCCACCUGGACAGGUAUUGACGCUGAGGUGCGAAAGUGUGGGGAGCAAACAGG